UUUAAGAUAAUAGUAAGAAAAUUAAGAAAAAAGCAAUAAGAUAUAAUUACAAGCGUUGCACGGCUGUCUUCAGUUAAUGUCGCGAGACUUUGGUUAGUUCCAUUAAAUUAACGUAAACCCUUACUUUAUUU
rnacentral:rRNA from 1 species